GUGUAUUUAGGCUAGGUUACCUUUCUAAAAUGGCUGUAGGCUAAUAAAUUAGCCUACCUGGACCUGGAGUUAAAUCAGAAGGACGCCCCGGCCCCGGUCUCCGCCAGGCUGGGAUGCUACUAGCUAAGUAGCAGGUGUGAAAAGGGCCGCAGGUAGCAGGUGUGAAAAGGGUCUGGAUCUACUGGACCAUGGUAUAGUGUGAAAAACUUUUUCUAGAUGGCUUGGAUGUUUGGACCAAUUAAAGGAAGUUGACGCAGUCUUUAAACAAACCAGAGAAAAAAGAGUUGGCAGCUGCUGGAAAUCACAGCACAGAACAGUUUCACCUUGGGCCAUAUUUCAUCUAAUCAUUUAAUCAAUAUGAUGCAUGAUCUAGUAAUGGAAAUGGUAACAAGAUCAUUCAAAUGCAAGACUGAAGGUUAUUUAUCUAGCACAUUGUUAUCUCUGUUGUCUUAACCUAUACAUUUAUAGCUCAGUUUCUUUCAUCCUUUGGUGGAAAAUUAAUUUCUGAAUGUAUUUUCUCCAAUGUGGGAAAAUUUGUGAUGUUGUGAUGUGAUGUACUGGUGAAUGAGUCAGUUGAAUGUUUUUAGCCUUUUUUAAGUUUCACAGAUGUGUGAUCUGAAUUUGUUAAUGAGUAGGUGUUCAACUGGUGUUUUUACUACUUUAAUAUUACCCCUUUAAUGAGCCUGUAUGUCUACUUGGUUGAAAAAAAUAGGAUUAUAUUUAGGAUUUAUUUAUUUAGGAAUGCAUUUUUAUAUUGUAUUAAUGUCUGAAAUAUUGCCUUAUUAUAUAAUCCUUGUAUUCUUGACAUUACACGGGUCUUAAAAUGACAAUAAUAUAUUUUAUUGCAAUUAUAUAUAAUCAAAAAUGUUACUGUGAAAGCCCAACAUCAGUAUUUAUUGUGCCAACCGUCCUGUGUAAUUAUUGUAUUUUUUUGCUCUAUGUCUAUAUAUUUGCAUUGUAUGUAGUCUUUUGUAGUGCUACGUUGCUCUAUGUUGCAUCAUGGUGUGUGAGAAGC